CCUACGGGUGGCAGCAGUGGGGAAUAUUGCACAAUGGGCGAAAGCCUGAUGCAGCAACGCCGCGUGAAGGAAGAAGGGUUUCGGCUCGUAAACUUCUAUCAACAGGGACGAAAGAAAUGAUGGUACCUGAAUAAGAAGCCCCGGCUAACUACGUGCCAGCAGCCGCGGUAAUACGUAGGGGGCAAGCGUUAUCCGGAAUUACUGGGUGUAAAGGGUGAGUAGGCGGCAUGGUAAGCCAGAUGUGAAAGCCUUGGGCUUAACCCGAGGAUUGCAUUUGGAACUAUCAAGCUAGAGUACAGGAGAGGAAAGCGGAAUUCCUAGUGUAGCGGUGAAAUGCGUAGAUAUAUGGAAGAACACCAGUGGCGAAGGCGGCCGCCUGGCCUGUUACUGACGCUGAGGCACGAAAGCGUGGGGAGCAAAUAGGAUUAGAUACCCUUGUAGUC
rnacentral:rRNA from 1 species